GUUCCCUUAGCUCAGUUGGUUCUUAGAGCAUUGGAUUUUUAAUCCAAGAGUCACGAGUUCGAAUCUCGUAGGGAACA
rnacentral:tRNA from 1 species